rnacentral:tRNA from 2 species
CCUUCGAUAGCUCAGUUGGUAGAGCGGAGGACUGUAGAUCCUUAGGUCGCUGGUUCGAAUCCGGCUUGAAGGA